CAUUACUUUUCAUAUAUCCCAUUUCAUAAAGUGAAAAAAUAAGUCCAUGCGUUAACGAUGGCUGUCUCAAAAACCUAUCAAUGGUUUGGUGUGAAAGAUGUCUUCACAGUUUUACUCUUCUGCACGAGGGGCCCGAAUUUGGGCAAGGUCAAAUUUGGAAGAGUUAUGAACUUAAGUAUGAGACAUGAACUUAAUUAUUGGACGGCAGAAACUAGUUAUAAGCAAUGUUUUAACAAUAUAUUUUUAAUUUUUUUUAAGUUGCUUUAUUCCGACAGAGAGACAGAGAGAGUGAGCAGGGGGAGGGGCAGAGAGAGAAAGAGAGAGAGAACCCCAGGCAGGCUCUGUGCUCUCAGCACAGAGCAUGACGUGGGGCUCAAACUCACAAACUGAGAUCAUGACCUGAACCCAAACCAAGAGUCGGAGGCUUAACCGAAUGAGCCACCCAGGUGCCCCAGCAAUAUUUUUUAAAAAAAACACACAGAAAUAGGUAGUAAUUAUUUAGGAAAAUUAAUGUUUUCCAAAAGAAGGACUUUAUGUUAAAAUGUAAAAAAAAUAUGCCAAAAGAACAAAGAAUUAACAGAAUCUGUUUAUAAAAAGGGACUUGCAUUGUUUGGGAGUAGGUUAUAUUAGUUAGAAAAACGGGCUGCAGAUCUCAAUGCUGGGUGUGUUCUUUGCAUAGAUCAUUAGUGUAACAAUUUAUAGUAAAGAAUACAGUACUCAUGAGUAAUUUAAUUAACAUCAAGCCAACCCAUUUAAACAAUUAACACGUCAUUGCUCCUUUCAAACUCAUUAUUUAUAGCUAUUUUAUACAUAAGAAAAUGGAUUUUACUUUCCCCUUGGACCAUCCAAGCUUGUUGCAUAACCUCAAAUUUGUCUCUUACUAUUUUCUUUUAUGUUUUGCACAUGGACAUUUUUAGUUUAUGAUAAAAGUUUUCUUUUUUUUCUCCUGAUUAAAAAAUAUAUCUGUUAUCUUGCAUGUACAUAUUAUUAUAACUGAUCUUUUUUUUUAAUCUUUCUUUUAAAACUCUGUAUGUACAUUAACAUAACCCAAAGGCAUUUAUACAAGCUUUCAACCUGUUACUGCUGGCUAUGCUAUGCUGUAUUAAAUAACAGCAGGGGUAUUUUAAAAUGAUGCUGUUCGAGUAUCCAAAAAUUGCUUAUUAUUAACUCAAAUUAAUAUUAGUUUAAGGUCUUAUGGUUAACUAAGGCUCUGGAAGUUAUAAUCUGACACAUUAACACUGUGUGUCCUUUUAGCAUUCUACAGAAUAAUCUUUUUCUAUAAAGAUACUACCCUUUAUUAUUAACUUACCUGAACUCUGUAUUUUGCAAUUUUGUAAUCUUAGAUAAAUUGAUGUUAGUUUAUGACCAGGAAAAAUGGUAGAGAAAAGUUAGGCAGUUCAAAAUAAUUGCACUUUCUACAGGCAAAUAAACCCACAUUGUACAGACUAGAAUAUUGCAUUCACAUUGGUUUUAUGAUGGUGGUAGAAUCAGGGAGAAGGCAUAGCGCUGUUUACAAACCCAAAUUAUUAAACCAGUUUCAUUUUUCCAAAGAAUCGUCUUGAUUAGAAUAUUAUACAAAUUAUUCUGCUUACACAAUUAUAGAUGAGAUAUUAAAACUUUUAAGAUGUUUUAACAGUCAUGCUUUUGCUUAUUUUAUACCCUAGUAACCAAGAUCACUAAUUAAGCCAUGUUUUCCCCCCCUUUUUAUAAUUAUAUAGUUUAGCAACAAAUGAUAAAUUUUAGUUUUAGCAAGAAAACUUGAAUAGUUUUAGCAAGAAAAAAAUUCUCAAAAAGUCAACAGAUUUAAAGCAUGAAAGUAGAAGUAUAUGUUAGAACUCUUUGGAUUCUUCACAUUUAUGUGAGUGCUUGAUAUGGUAAUAUUUCUUUUAGGAAAAAGAAGUUUGCAAUAGGUACUUAAUCCAUUAGAUUUGAAAAGAUCUUAACCAUAAUCUGACCUAUUAACUUCCUCCAGGAGUGAAUAAACUGUAUCAAUUUGUUUGCUCAAAAUGUUUUCCUUUAUGUAAAAUAGAUCAUUUUACCAACUCCUGUACAAGUUGGAGGAGCUAAGAGAAUCUAAGAUAGAAACAGGCACUACCAGCGUCUUUUAAGAAAGUUGAUCAAUUAAGUCCUAUAAUUAAGCACCAUCAGGUCAUUGGGAGGACGUGUUUUUGAAAGUCCGAGUAAUUUGGGGAUCUCCUUUUGAGAUCGUUACGUUCUCUCUCUUAUAAUGCCUACAUCCCUCACAAUAAUAACCUCCUUUUAACCUCAUAUAUAAGUUUCCGAAGAGAGGUUAAUUUUGAAUCAGUCAUUACUUAGGGACAUUCAAGAGAGCUUUUCGUUUCCUUUCAUCUUUGGUAUAGGGUGUUCACCUUUGUCACCAUCAACAGCUAUUGGGACCAUAAUGAGUACACGAUACAAACCAGAACUUUGGGAGGCAUCUGGGUGGCUCUGUUGGUUGAGCAUCUGACUUCAGCUCAGAUCGUGAUCUCACGGUUCGUGAGCUCGGUCGGGCCCUGCAUCAGGCUCUCUGCUGUAGUGCAGAGCCUGCUUCGGAUCCGCUGUCCCCUUCUCUCUCUCUGUCUCUCCCCUCUCUCACAUUCUCGCUCUCAAAAAUAAACAUUAAAAAAAAAAAAAAAGCCAGAACUCCGGGAUAAGGAAGAGCUUCUGAAAUGAGAACAGAACUUCUACCGAUACCAACACGAAAUAUGCGAACACAGAACCCGAUCAAGAGUUACAGAAAUGCACACACAACCCCUUUUCAACCUCUGUAUUCUCAAAUGCCGGAAACCAUCAGAAUCCUCAACCACAUUCCUCCCAGAAUCCUCAAACACAUUCCCCUCACCAAAGCAAAAGCGUACCAGGGGAAUCCAAUUCCAGAACGCCCGUGGGUUGCCCCGUGACAGAAACCUCUCCGUGGCCAGGCUAAUCGCACGGUGGUCUGCACUGCUCCUGCCACCAGUGUGGGCACACCCGGCUGUAGCUCCCUCAGAACCAGAAACGAACUUGGCCGAGAACCCGAUGCAGCUCCGUCAGCUCACAGGAGAGUCCCCGGAGGAGCCAGGGGAGGGUGAGGGCUCCACGGCCCUGGGUCUGGACGAGGUGUGCGUGACCUUGACGCCAUCGGUGGGAAUCUAGGAGUAAGCUGUCAAGGGAGAACCAGAGACCAGUGCUUUUAGGAAAGGGAAGAAAACAAUCACUCGUGAAAAGUGUGAGGGGGCUGCUUUUCUGACGGCCAGCAGGUCAAAUACAAAGCACGAGUAUUUAAAGGGAAAAAUCAAAAAUGACCAAGAUGACCGUGUUUAUAGUGGUCUAUUCGUGGUAGAAAAUAGCAGCUUUCUCACAUGGCUGUCAUAUUCAGAACAUGCCCUCAGAUUUUCAGCACAGCAAAAUUCAGGGAUCAAGUGUUGUUUUUGUUAGAGAGUCCACAUUUCUGGGAGGUAUUCAAGGCUUAUUGUUUGGGGAAACAGAGCCAGUUACCACAGCCCUGUCGGGUUUUUUCCUUUUUUUUUUUUUCUUCCCUUGACUGUGGCAUAUGAAGUGCUUAGUCACUGGAAACAGGGAAGGGGGGUGGCACUUGGCUGGCUCAGUCGGUGGUGCCACUCUUGAGGUAGUGGGUUUGAGCCCCGUGUUGGGAGUAGACAUUACUUAAAAAAAUAAGAUCUUAAAAAUAAAUAAACAAACAAACAAACAAGGCACAGCUUCACCUUUUGUUCCUGCAGUGUUCACAUACGUUUGGUACAUUAACUAAAAGUCAGAGGAUCAUGAAAACUGGUCUCUCUAGAGAAGCCACAUGAAGAUAAUGGACACGUGAUCGUACCGGUCCCUUCAGCUGACCUGUCAUCAGUUUCUUGAAGAAUCUGGCUAUUUUCUCUUUGCACCAAGCUCUGAACACAACAGCAGACAGUGGGAUGAGCAUAAGGAGUGCUCCACGGUGGUAAUUCCGCACUGGACCAGGGCCUGGCCUCGGAGCAGGUGCGUGACCUGGCAAGGGGAUGCCCGGGCGGCCUCUAGCUGCUCCCUGUCAAGGGCCACUUGGGAGGGACAGAUGGAAGGGAGAGACAACCAGCAACCUCCCUGACUUUAUCUCAGAUUAGGGCUUUUUAACCAGGGGACUGCAGGCUUCUUGACCCUUAGUGAGUUCAGCUCUCAGCCUGCUCAAGACAAAAUCAGAAAUGCGACGGUUCUGCGACCACUAUAGGACAUCGAAUCAGCACUUACAAAUGAGCCUCAAGAAAGCAUGGAGCUGAGAUGGCUUUCCUGGUGACAGCUACCAUUCAAGGAACAGAGAAGUCCUGGGACACAACUCAUCUGGAGAGUGGAAAGAGGGAAGCUCCCUAACUCGUUAAUGAGGCCAGCAAAACAUUGAUACCCUAAGUCGGUUUAUUAUUAGCCUGGCCGGUAGCGGUGAUGGCAAGGGCAUCCUAGCGUGUGAGAAAGAAAACACGCAGGCCCAUCUUGUUAUUAAUAUAUAAACACAAAAAUGUGAAACACAGUAUUGGCCAGAUCCGGCGAUGCACGGGAGAGAUAACCCAUCAGGGCCAUGUUGGAUUACUCCUAGGAAUGCAAGAUGAAUGCAACAGGGGGAAAACUGAUGAAUGUAAUUUGCUUUAUGAACAGAAUAAAAGCAAAAAUCUAUUGAAAAUAAAAGCUUCCUGAAAAAAUUCACAGCCCUUCUUAUGGAAACUCUCAGGAAACCAAGAGUAGAAGCAAACUUCCUUAGUCUCAUAGAAGACGUUUGUGAAAAACUUACGAUAAAUCGCAUACUUAAUGGUGAGAUGUUGCAAACAUCCCCUUUCAGGCCAGGAACAAGACCUUCUCGAAGACCCUUCCACCGUGAUCCCUUCUCCCAUCUCCCCGCCGCCAGGAUCACACUCCCUUCACAAUUCUCCCAGAGCGCUUUGUCUACACCUCUAGAGGGACUGGCCACUGUCUGCCCUGCAUCACAGCUGACGUGAGAUGUCCGGAUAGACAAACCAGAGCAGGUGCCUCUGCAGGAGUUCGUGAUCUCAUGGGGGAGAGAGGCAUGGAAGCACACAAAUACACUUGUUUUGAGCCGUUGAUACUGGGCAGGAGUGGGGAGUCAUAUAAGUAAAUCAAAAGGUCUGUAAUCUGAGCAUGCACAAAUGUUGUCAUUGAGCUGAAUAAAAUGAUAUAUCUCACUGUAUGUAUUUCUCCUCUUCGUAUGUCUGUAGAAUUUGUAUUUUAUUAAAUGCAAACAUAUAUGUAAUAAAAUACAAAUUCUUUCAAGAGUGGUACUUAACGUAGGGCAAUUUUUUGUGAUCAUGCCUUUUCUUAAUCGAUAGUUGGUAAAAAUACAAAAUGCUAUCACACGAAGACUUGUGAAAUGUUUCAGAGGAGAUUCCUCUUUGGAGA